rnacentral:lncRNA from 10 species
AGUAAAAAAGUUACAGUAAGCUAAGGCUUAUGUAUUUAUUGAUUUAUUUUCUUUUGAGACGUAGUUUCACUCUUGUUGUCCAACUUUACAGUGUGUCAGAAAACACAUAAAAAUUUUUAACAAAAAAGUCAAAAUGUUUGUUUGAUAAAUGUAUUCAAAGACAGUUUUUGCUAAGGAUAUGUUAAAGCUGACAUUGAAGCCCUGUUAAUUGUGAAUUCCUAGGUCCUUUUCAUGCCAAGACAAUGGGGGAAAUGUCUCCAGGGCAUGUCAGAGACCUUCACGAGAAGAGGGCCACCAUCCUCCAGAUCCCAGAAUGG